CGGGAAUUGGGAUUCAGGCCUAACACAUGCAAGUCGAACGGCAGCACGGACUUCGGUCUGGUGGCGAGUGGCGAACGGGUGAGUAAUAUAUCGGAACGUGCCCAGUCGUGGGGGAUAACGUAGUGAAAAUUACGCUAAUACCGCAUACGAUCUACGGAUGAAAGCGGGGGAUCGCAAGACCUCGCGCGAUUGGAGCGGCCGAUAUCAGAUUAGGUAGUUGGUGAGGUAAAGGCUCACCAAGCCGACGAUCUGUAGCUGGUCUGAAAGGACGACCAGCCACACUGGAACUGAGACACGGUCCAGACUCCUACGGGAGGCAGCAGU
rnacentral:rRNA from 1 species